UGGGGUAUAGCCAAGUUGGUAAGGCAGCGGGUUUUGAUCCCGCCAUUCAUAGGUUCGAGUCCUGUUACCCCAGCCA
rnacentral:tRNA from 35 species